rnacentral:rRNA from 1 species
AGCAGCCGCGGUAAUUCCAGCUCCAAUAGCGUAUAUUAAAGUUGUUGCAGUUAAAAAGCUCGUAGUUGAAUUUUGGAUUCUUCCAAUUGGUCCAUCUUUUAGAUGAGUACUGGUUGUGUGGGGUCUAUCCGCCUGGUGAUACGUAAUGUCCUUUAUUGGAUGUUGCGGGUAGUCAGGACCUUUACCUUGAAAAAUUAGAGUGUUUAAAGCAGGCUUAUGCCGGAAUACAUUAGCAUGGAAUAAUAGAAUAGGACGAAGUUGUUUUAUUUUGUUGGUUUCUAGGACAACCGUAAUGAUUAAUAGGGAUAGUUGGGGGCAUUAGUAUUCAAUUGUCAGAGGUGAAAUUCUUGGAUUUAUUGAAGACUAACUACUGCGAAAGCAUUUGCCAAGGAUGUUUUCAUUAAUCAAGAACGAAAGUUAGGGGAUCGAAGACGAUCAGAUACCGUCGUA